GGGGGAGUGUCCCUGUCGGUGUAUCUGGGCCCAGGUUAGGGGACUUCUCCUCCCCACCCCCGCGUGGGUGUGGGGGUGUGUCCGGGCUAGGGCGCGUGUGCUUCUGUGCCUGUGCGUGCGUGUGCGGGUCAGGGUGGUGGGACCGCGCAUCAGGGCAGGGUGCCUGCGUCUGCGUCUGGGUCUGUCUGGUCUGCAUGUCGGCGCGAUCUCGACCUGGGUUCGUGUCCCUGGAUGUCGAGAGGCCAGCGUGGUGGGGGUGUCCAGCCUCCCGGAGGAGUACUAUGCCUCGACACCUUGGUUUCAUAUCCUAGAGGUCUGGUCGUAAUUGCCCUCUCCCCAUUGCUUGACCAGGAAGGCUGGGAGGCUCCAG
rnacentral:lncRNA from 1 species